AUAGCGGGAGGGUUCAUUUAAUUUGAUGCACUUAGGAAAUUGCCGCCCCACUCUUCAUUCGUUCCCGGCAUUCGUCCGUACCCAAAACCGCUACUGGCUACACUGAAUAGGUGCCAACAUUAUAGCCUAAGUACUGGGUAACGUUUCUAUACAAAUACAGGUCAAGGGGUCACUGGGAUGGUUUGUGCAGCACAUAUUCUUCCAUUCUAUCCACACCCUCACGUCCUGCUGCUGGUGGCUGGGCAGCCUGGUCAAUACCUCCUGGCUGACGCAGCCAUGACCCGAGAGACACAUUCCAGGCAAAAUGUGUGGGUGCAGUCCAGCAUCUUGGGUGUCUUGGAGACAUUGUCAUAAGCGUUGAAACAGAUAGAGCACUCUGGUUUGACC